GAGAGGGGAGAGGGGCUGGAUGGCCGAGGCCGGAACGGGCCCUGGGGUGCGGGUUAGGACCGACGUACCUAGCAGCACUGGCCCUCGGACGGUCCCUGACCCCACCUCGGGGCGGGCGCAGCAUGAGCUGCUUCCCACCCAGGGAAAGCUGGGGUGCUGGCCCCGGCCCCUCGAAGAGGGCUUAGGAGGACGGAAGCUGGCCAGAGAUGAGGGGGCUUUGGGCCUGGGUGUGAGUGACAAGGAGCUGGUGCCAGCCCCUCCCUCCCCGGCACUGAGGCGUCCGUGGGGGCUAGAUUAUUCCUCCUUUUCUUCCAAGCUGUCCUGAAUCCCCACGAGGCCCUGGCUCAGCCUCUUCCCACCACAGGCACACCAGGGUCAGAAGGGGGGACGGUGAAGAACUAUGAGACAGCUGUCCAAUUUUGCUGGAAUCAUUAUAAGGAUCAAAUGGAUCCUAUCGAAAAGGAUUGGUGCGACUGGGCCAUGAUUAGCAGGCCUUAUAGCACCCUGCGAGAUUGCCUGGAGCACUUUGCAGAGUUGUUUGACCUGGGCUUCCCCAAUCCCUUGGCAGAGAGGAUCAUCUUUGAGACUCACCAGAUCCACUUUGCCAACUGCUCCCUGGUGCAGCCCACCUUCUCUGACCCCCCAGAGGAUGUACUCCUGGCCAUGAUCAUAGCCCCCAUCUGCCUCAUCCCCUUCCUCAUCACUCUUGUAGUAUGGAGGAGUAAAGACAGUGAGGCCCAGGCCUAGGGGGCCACGAGCUUCUCAACAACCAUGUUACUCCACUUCCCCACCCCCACCAGGCCUCCCUCCUCCCCUCCUACUCCCUUUUCUCACUCUCAUCCCCACCACAGAUCCCUGGAUUGCUGGGAAUGGAAGCCAGGUGGGGUCAUGGCACAA
rnacentral:lncRNA from 1 species